GGAUAAUAGUUUCCCACCAUGCAUGCUGGUAAAUAAAUGUUUACCCUCUAUGAUCUCCUUGUUCUAUGAUCUCCCAAUUACUAUUACUGACAAAAUAACAUAUGGAGCAUCAUCUGUGCAUAGUUUUCUGACGUCAGCAGCUACGAAAUUGUGGUUAAUUUGCAAAUCACUGAAAAGUGGGAAGAUAAUAUCCCACUGCUCAUUUAGCGACACUGGAUUUCGACCGAUUCAAUGUAGCUCUCAUUUCAAUUGCAAAUUGCAAAUAGAAGAUUCAUCAUCUCAAGACGUUUGAGGUUCCAUUCUUGAAACAUGAAUGAACAAAGCCUGCAUUGGAGUAAUUCCAACAUUGAAUUGUGAGAUAAAGAUUGGACUUCAACUACAGUAAC